AUUAGCUAUGUAUAUAAAUAAAUAGGUUGUAUUAGGGUUUCAUGGUGAAGUGAAAUAUAGAUCUUUUCUCCCUCAUCUCUUCUCUCUCUCUCUCUUUCUUUAAAGUGGCAGCCCCAGGUUCGAUGAAGCCCUAAAAGAAGGGGGUGCCUCCCUCAAGCCCAUAAAGGCGGGUGCCCCAUCACAGAUUCGAGUGGUGGAUCUAUGGUUGCUGCCUUCAAGUGUAUAGAUCUAUCACAUAUCUUUUUAGGUUUUUUAGAGUAAUAUCCAGGUCCAUGUGGGUGAUCUAGGGGUUUUCACAAC
rnacentral:lncRNA from 1 species